rnacentral:rRNA from 1 species
ACGCUGGUCGCGUGCCUAAGGAAGCAAGUCGAACGCGAAAGUCUCGCAAGGGAUCAGUAGAUUGCCCAACGGGUGAGUAACACGUGGGCGACCUGCCUUCGAGCGGGGGAUAACGUUCCGAAAGGGACGCUAAUACCGCAUAACAUCCUGCUUUUCAAGAAGUGGAGAUCAAAGCUGGGGAUCGCAAGACCUAGCACCCGAAGAGGGGCCCGCGCCCGAUUAGCUAGUUGGUGAGGUAACGGCUCACCAAGGCUACGAUCGGUAGCCGGCCUGAGAGGGCGGACGGCCACACUGGGACUGAGACACGGCCCAGACUCCUACUGGAGGCAGCAGUGGG